CUUGCGGCCACAUCACAUUGAAAUACCAGUCCUCGCACGACCUCCAAAGUUAACCAACGACGAUCCUGGUCAGUACCUAGAUGGGUGACCACUUGAGAAUUCCAGGGGCUGUAAG